rnacentral:rRNA from 1 species
ACACAUGCAAGUCGAACGAGAAUCUACUGAAAGAGUUUUCGGACAAUGGAUGUAGAGGAAAGUGGCGGACGGGUGAGUAACGCGUGAGGAACCUGCCUUGAAGAGGGGGACAACAGUUGGAAACGACUGCUAAUACCGCAUGACGCAUAGAGGUCGCAUGAUCUUUAUGCCAAAGAUUUAUCGCUUCAAGAUGGCCUCGCGUCUGAUUAGCUGGUUGGCGGGGUAACGGCCCACCAAGGCGACGAUCAGUAGCCGGACUGAGAGGUUGAACGGCCACAUUGGGACUGAGAUACGGCCCAGACUCCUACGGGAGGCAGCAGUGGGGAAUAUUGGGCAAUGGACGCAAGCCUGACCCAGCAACGCCGCGUGAAGGAAGAAGGCUUUCGGGUUGUAAACUUCUUUUAAGAGGGAAGAGCAGAAGACGGUACCUCUAGAAUAAGCCACGGCUAACUACGUGCCAGCAGCCGCGGUAAUACGUAGGUGGCAAGCGUUGUCCGGAUUUACUGGGUGUAAAGGGCGUGCAGCCGGGUCUGCAAGUCAGAUGUGAAAUCCAUGGGCUCAACCCAUGAACUGCAUUUGAAACUGUAGAUCUUGAGUGUCGGAGGGGCAAUCGGAAUUCCUAGUGUAGCGGUGAAAUGCGUAGAUAUUAGGAGGAACACCAGUGGCGAAGGCGGAUUGCUGGACGAUAACUGACGGUGAGGCGCGAAAGUGUGGGGAGCAAACAGGAUUAGAUACCCUGGUAGUCCACACUGUAAACGAUGAAUACUAGGUGUGCGGGGACUGACCCCUUGCGUGCCGCA